AGUCACUGACAUUAGAUACCCCUGUAGUCCAGGGUGUAAACGCUGCAGACUUGGUGUUGGAGGCCCUUUGGGGGCAUUCAGUGCCGGAGAGAAGUUGUUAAGUCUGCUACGUUGGGAGUACGUCCGCAAGGAUAGAAACUUAAAGGAAUUGCGGGGGAGCACCGCAACGGGAGGAGCGUGCGGUUUAAUUGGAUUCAACACCGUAAAACUCACCAGGGAAGACUGUUACAUGAAGGCCGAGAUGAAGACUCUGCUAGAUUUUCAG
rnacentral:rRNA from 1 species